rnacentral:lncRNA from 1 species
UCGCUGCUAGUGAUUGUGAGGAGUGAAAUCUCAUCCACUUUGGGCCUAAAAACAGCCAGUUGAGCAGAAUUGGCAGAAAGGGAGAGUCGUUGGUCACAAGGAGAGAGCUGUGUUCCAUUGGAAAAGAACGAUUCCUUAGAAGAAAACGCAAGCCCAAAAGUGAAACCAUCCCAUCUCUGAAUUUUUGUGUCUGAACAUGGAUCAAAAACAGGAUUUGUAUCUCCACCGUGCACGUUGCUCAUCACCAUCAUCGUCAAUACCAAUAUCAACGCCACCAUGAUUCCCAUCUUCACCAAAUCAUUAACAACAAAAGAAAGAAAGAAAGAAAGAAAAAGCAAAAAAUUAGUUUACAGAGGAAAUGUUCCAAAGGUAAGACUUUGCAAUUUUUCCAAGUUGUGGUAAGCAAUUAGAACAAUGAUUAAACUCAACAACACAACAAGUAAAAUACCACAAGCGGGGUAUGGAGAGGGUAGACUGUACGCAAAUAUUACCCUUACCCGGACGAGUAGAGAGAUUGUUUCCGGAAGAUCCUCGGCUAAAAAAACGAACAAUGAUUAAACUCAUAACAAAGAAACACAACACAAAUGAAAAUCAUAACAACAAGGGUGGGAGGCAACCUGGUUUAACAGGACAUCAAAUAUUCUAAUUUAGCUACCAUCAAUUCAUCAACAACUUAUGUUUAGUUAUUCAAUUACUCAAUUAAUUAAUUUUUAGAACCUGAAUUGAAAUUUUAGAGGAUUCAUGGUAUUAUUUAAGAACCCCAAACCUCCUCCAAGGAAAAUAACAACAACAACAACAACAACAACAAAAAAUCCAGUUUAAGGGUUUGGGGAGCAUAUAUGCAGACCUUACCCUACCUUCGAAAAGACAGAAAAGUUAUUUUCGGUAUCCUCGGCUCACGAAAAAUAAAAAGAGGGGCAAUGACAAGCAAACCAAUAAGAUGUUUGUUUAUAAACACAAAAAUUUAUGAAUUUAUGCUAAUUCCAAAAGUCAAAACAAGGAAUCAAUAGGAAGCAAACUUACAAAAACAAAGUUACCCCUGAGAAAAAAAUCUGAUGUUGUUCAAUCCCUUAGAACCUUUUCUUGAUAUUGAUCAAAGUUUUAAGAAAACCGUUUCCUUAUGUGGAAAACUAAUUAUUACGCCUAGUAAUAGAUAUAUUACUAGUUACUAGAAGAAAAAGAAGAAGAAAAAAACUGAAGGGAUCAAAAUAAUAAGGAAUUAAAGGUUUUAGAAAUUGGUUGUUGAAAAUAUUUGUUUUGGUAAUUUCGACGUGUGAUGGGUUUUUGGGAUUCGUACUUGCAAAGAAAAGUUUCUUAAGGUAAAGUACACGAGA